GACGAACGCUGGCGGCGUGCUUAACACAUGCAAGUCGAACGAAGUGGCGAACGGGUGAGUACCGCGUAAUCAACCUGCCCUUCAGAGGGGGACAACAGUGGGAAACGACUGCUAAUACCGCAUACUGAAGGAGGGGAUUGCGUCUGCUAAGAGAGUUGGAGGGGUAACGGCCCACCAAGGCGAUGAUCAGUAGCCGGUCUGAGAGUAUGAAAGGCCACAUUGGGAUUGAGACACGGCCCAGAUGCCUCCGGGAGGCAGCAGUAGGGAAUCUUCGGCAAUGGACGAAAGUCUGACCGAGCAACGCCGCGUGAGUGAAGAAGGUUUUCGGAUCGUAAAACUCUGUUGUUAGAGAAGCGGUAUCUAACCAGAAAGCCACGGCUAACUACGUGCCAGCAGCCGCGGUAAUAC
rnacentral:rRNA from 1 species